rnacentral:rRNA from 1 species
GAUGAACGCUAGCGGCAGGCUUAAUACAUGCAAGUCGAGGGGCAGCACAGGUAGCAAUACUGGGUGGCGACCGGCAAACGGGUGCGGAACACGUACACAACUUACCUUCUGGUGGGGGAUAGCCUUUGGAAACGGAGAUUAAUACCCCAUAUUAUAUAUGAGCUGCAUGGUUUGUAUAUUAAAGAUUUAUUGCCGGAAGAUGGGUGUGCGUAUGAUUAGGUAGUUGGCGGGGUAACGGCCCACCAAGCCGACGAUCAUUAACUGGUGUGAGAGCACGACCAGUCACACGGGCACUGAGACACGGGCCCGACUCCUACGGGAGGCAGCAGUAAGGAAUAUUGGUCAAUGGACGGAAGUCUGAACCAGCCAUGCCGCGUGGAGGAUGAAGGUCCUCUGGAUUGUAAACUUCUUUUAUAGGGGGCGAAAAAAGGGAAUUCUUUCUCGUCUGACGGUACCCUAUGAAUAAGCACCGGCUAACUCCGUGCCAGCCGCCGCGGUAAUAC